CCCUAUGGGGUGCAGCAGGCGCGAAACCUUUACAAUGCGCGAAAGCGUGAUAAGGGGAUACUCAGUGCUUACGGUUAUGCUGUAGGCUUUUGUGAAGUGUAGAUAGCUUCAUGAAUAAGUGGUGGGAAAGACUGGUGCCAGCCGCCGCGGUAACACCAGCGCCACGAGUGGUCAUCGCGAUUAUUGGGCCUAAAGCGUUCGUAGCCUGUUUCGUAAAUCUCUUGUGAAAUUGUUCGGCUUAACCGAACAGCGUGCAGGAGACACUGCGAGACUCGAGACCGGGAGGGGUUAGAGGUAUUCCAUGGGGACUGGUAAAAUGGGAUAAUCCAUGGAGGACCACCGAUGGCGAAGGCAUCUAACCAGAACGGAUCUGACGGUGAGGAACGAAAGCCAGGGGAGCGAACCGGAUUAGAUACCCGAGUAGUCCUGGCCGUAAACGCUGUGAGCAAGGUGUUGCACAUCUCACGAAGAUGUGCAGUGUCGAAACGAAGGUGUUAAGCUCACCGCCUGGGAAGUACGGUCGCAAGACUGAAACUUUAAGGAAUUGGCGGGGGCGCACUACAAGGGGUGCGGCGUGCGGUUUAAUCUAACUCAACGCAGAGAACCUUACUAGUGGCGACGGCAGGAUGAAGGCCGUGCUAAAGACACUGCCAGACGAGCCGAGAGGUGGUGCAUGGCC
rnacentral:rRNA from 1 species